rnacentral:rRNA from 1 species
AUUGAACGCUGGCGGCAGGCCUAACACAUGCAAGUCGAGCGGUUGACGGGAGCUUGCUCCCUGAUUCAGCGGCGGACGGGUGAGUAAUGCCUAGGAAUCUGCCUAUUAGUGGGGGACAACGUUUCGAGGGGACCGCUAAUACCGCAUACGUCCUACGGGAGAAAGCAGGGGACCGUCGGGCCUUGCGCUAAUAGUUGAGCCUAGGUCGGAUUAGCUUGUUGGUGAGGUAAUGGCUCACCAAGGCGACGAUCCGUAACUGGUCUGAGAGGAUGAUCAGUCACACUGGAACUGAGACACGGUCCAGACUCCUACGGGAGGCAGCAGUGGGGAAUAUUGGAGAAUGGGCGAAAGCCUGAUCCAGCCAUGCCGCGUGUGUGAAGAAGGUCUUCGGAUUGUAAAGCACUUUAAGUUGGGAGGAAGGGUUGUAGAUUAAUACUCUGCAAUUUUGACGUUACCGACAGAAUAAGCACCGGCUAACUCUGUGCCAGCAGCCGCCGUAA